rnacentral:rRNA from 1 species
CAAGUCGAGGGGCAGCACGAAUAGCAAUAUUUGGUGGCGACCGGCGCACGGGUGCGUAACACGUAUACAACCUACCUAUAACAGGGGGAUAGCCUUUCGAAAGAGAGAUUAAUACCCCGUAAUAAAUUUGAUGGCAUCAUUAGAUUUUGAAAGCUCCGGCGGUUAUAGAUGGGUAUGCGUCUGAUUAGCUAGUUGGUGAGGUAAUGGCUCACCAAGGCGACGAUCAGUAGGGGAUCUGAGAGGACUAACCCCCACACUGGUACUGAGACACGGACCAGACUCCUACGGGAGGCAGCAGUAAGGAAUAUUGGUCAAUGGAGGCAACUCUGAACCAGCCAUGCCGCGUGCAGGAUGACGGCCCUAUGGGUUGUAAACUGCUUUUGUACCAGAGAAAACCCCAGUACGUGUACUGGGUUGAUAGUAUGGUAAGAAUAAGCAUCGGCUAACUUCGUGCCAGCAGCCGCGGUAAGGCGAAGGAUGCAAGCGUUAUCCGGAUUCAUUGGGUUUAAAGGGUGCGUAGGCGGACUUGUAAGUCAGUGGUGAAAUCUCUCAGCUUAACUGAGAAACUGCCAUUGAUACUGCAGGUCUAGAGUAUAGAUGACGUUGGCGGAAUAUGACAUGUAGUGGUGAAAUACUUAGAUAUGUCAUAGAACACCGAUUGCGAAGGCAGCUAACGAAACUAUAACUGACGCUGAGGCACGAAAGUGCGGGGAUCAAACAGGAUUAGAUACCCUGGUAGUCCGCACCGUAAACGAUGAUUACUCGUUGUUGGCGAUAUGACAGUCAGCGACCAAGCGAAAGCGAUAAGUAAUCCACCUGGGGAGUACGCCGGCAACGGUGAAACUCAAAGGAAUUGACGG